rnacentral:rRNA from 1 species
AACGAACGCUGGCGGCAGGCUUAACACAUGCAAGUCGAACGCAUCCUUCGGGGUGAGUGGCAGACGGGUGAGUAACGCGUGGGAACGUGCCCUUCAGUUCGGGAUAACCCAGGGAAACUUGGGCUAAUACCGGAUACGUGCGAGAGCAGAAAGAUUUAUCGCUGAAGGAUCGGCCCGCGUCUGAUUAGCUAGUUGGUGGGGUAAUGGCCCACCAUGGCGACGAUCAGUAGCUGGUCUGAGAGGAUGAUCAGCCACAUUGAGACUGAGACACGGCCCAAACUCCUACGGGAGGCAGCAGUGGGGAAUAUUGGACAAUGGGCGCAAGCCUGAUCCAGCCAUGCCGCGUGAGUGAUGAAGGCCUUAGGGUUGUAAAGCUCUUUCGUCCGGGACGAUAAUGACGGUACCGGAAGAAGAAGCCCCGGCUAACUUCGUGCCAGCCGCCGCUGUAA